UAUAUUUUUAAAAACAAACAAAAAGGCCAUCUUAUGGUCGGAAACCCCAAAAAUACUCCAACGAAACCCAAAAACGCAUUUCACACACACUAAACCCCACCUCUCUCCAAUUCUACGGUCUCUAGCCACAAUGAGUGCACCCGUGAAGCCACCAGGCCCACCACUUUUCCUCCAUCACCACCGUCUUCUAUCUCGCCACCGUGAAUUCCACCUUUAAGCCAUCAUUGAACUAAUCAAGAAUUGAACAUACGAGUGCCCUUCUCUGCUUUCCCAUGUUACCUUUUAUCUAUGGUAGCUAUAGAAUCAAUAAUCUAACCCAAUUUGCACCUUAGUUUUCAAAGUAAAAUCGUCGAUUCGCAAGUUUCUACACUUCUCAGCCCUAAAACCUUUAUUUCUCUCUCCACUGUUCUUCUUCCAAUCUCCAGGUCCAGGAUCUCGAUUUCAUGCCUUGCUCUUUAUAUUGAAAUAGAUUCAUGUUUUUACUUUGCUCUCAAGUUCUGAAUUUCUAGGGUUAUAAUUUUAAUUAUAUACUUCAAAUUGAUUUUAUUUUCACAUCUAGUUACUCAUGUUCUUGAUUCGAAAUUCGUUGUAUUCUUUUCAUUCUCUCGGUUUCUUUUCAUUUUCUAGUUCCUUCUUUUUGUUAUUUAUAAUUUAAUUUUUGAUUUUAUUUCCCUUACUUCUCUAUCUCGAUACCUCCCAACUUGCAGAUCUUAUUAGGUCCCUUGCAAUUUUAAGUCCUGGGCUAGGUAGAAGUCUCCCAUUAUUUUGUUUGAUAUUUUCUAAUCCAUAUUAUAUCUCUUACUCUAUAUCUCUAUCCCUCCUCCCCUCCAAUGUUAUACAACUUAUGGCUUCUCUCAUCUUCAGAUCUUGGUCUACCAUCUGAAAGUAUUAGUGGAUUUUGCAUCUUCUACCUCGCAAUUUGAAGUCUUGUGUCAGGCACAAUUAUGUUGAUUUCCUAGCGGAAGAGAUCGAUGUAUGAUGUAGCUUCCCAUAAGAUCUAUGCGAAAGAUCACCAGUCAUAAAUUCUGAUCGAUUAAUGGCUAGGAGUUUUAUGCAGACUGAAGAACCUUGAGGACCUGAGGAACAAAUUUGAAGGGAGCCUUCCACUCUGUCUUGGCCAUUUUAAAGAGAUUCGCCAAGCUUGUUUUUCUUUAGUACGUCUCACUCUCAUCUAAUAACUUCGAUGGCUCAUUUUCAUUUCAUUCACUCGCUAAUAUCCCUAAGCGGCUUGAGGUCUUUGAACUCGUCAACAAUAACAACAAUCUAGCCGUUGAAACAGAGCUAUAUAGGGUUGGCCAGUUUCUUCCAUUUCAGCUCAAAUUAUCUAAUUGCACCCUCAACAACCCAACUGGUACUGUCCCUAUAUAGCUUCCUCGCGACUCACUGUUGUUGUAGUUGUUGUUGUCAUUGUUGUUACCGCUGUUGCCUACUUCUGCUACAGCUGCUGUCGGCUGUUACUGUUGUCUGUUUCCUACUGUUCAUUGCUGCCUGUUUGCUAGUGCACUUACUGUUAUUUUGUUUUUUCUGUUUUGAAAUUUGGUAGUGUAAAGACUGAGGUUGACCAUAAUUAACUUUCUUUUCGUUUUCAUUAUUAGAUUGUUUACCAAACAAAAAAAAUUGGUGUUUGUGGAUGUUUUAUUUAAGAAACUAUGAAAUUAUAUCAAUUCAAAUUAUUGUGUA